rnacentral:rRNA from 1 species
UACGUAGGGUGCAAGCGUUAAUCGGAAUUACUGGGCGUAAAGCGUGCGCAGGCGGUUUUGUAAGACAGGUGUGAAAUCCCCGGGCUUAACCUGGGAACUGCAUUUGUGACUGCAUAGCUAGAGUACGGCAGAGGGGGAUGGAAUUCCGCGUGUAGCAGUGAAAUGCGUAGAUAUGCGGAGGAACACCGAUGGCGAAGGCAAUCCCCUGGGCCUGUACUGACGCUCAUGCACGAAAGCGUGGGGAGCAAACAGG